rnacentral:rRNA from 1 species
UCAUUUUAAUUUUUAACUCUAUUUGUUGUUUGUGUCUUUUUUUUUAUUUUUGUUUUUAUGUUAUUGUUUGUAAAAUGUUUUAGUUUUUAUAUUUUUUAAAAAGACAUUUAAAAUUUGUUUUUUGAACUGGAUUAGUACCCAGGUAAUCAAAAUUAAUUAAUUCGGGAGUAAAGUUUUGUUUAAACCGAAAAAAUAUUGACUGACCUUGGAUUUUUCUUUGGAAUAUGCGUAUGGAGAGCCCUCUUUUUUGGUGAGUCUUAUCGGCACAUGUAUGAUUGUUUAGUUUUUAUUUUAUUUGUAAUGCUUUUUAUGUUUUGUCAUUUAAAACAGAUAUAUAUUUGGCUUAUGGACUUAUAAUCGUGUGUUACUAUUAUUAAUUUUUUUUGGAUUAUUUUUUAUUUUUUCGGAAAUUGGAAAAGAAAGUAAUUUUUUUUUAUAUGAAU